UGGAUGUGUAUAAAGGUUUGAUGUAAAAGAUACUCAUUUCAUCACUGCCUCUAAUAGGGAACAAUCAGCAACAAUGUAAGGGUCAAUAAUGAAGUCCAAGGUUGAUCUGCGUGUAUGGAUGCACCAGCCAGCAUCCAUUCUGAUUGGCUGGUGGCUGUGAGGCACAUUUGAUACAUAUUUUAGAUACCACUCACUCAGGGAAUACUUUGUACCAACCAGAUAACCAUGGAGAAGACCAUUUAUGAAGUUGACAAGCUGCAUACAAAACCAGAUGAGAAAACAGAGGUUCUAGCCAGAUGGGUCAUCUGAGAUAUGAACGCAGGCUGCGUGAGCCCAGAGCUUCCCUGGACUCUUCACUUCCGUGCCCCCAGUCUCGGCCAGCUCUCUGCUACUGAUGGCAACACAAACUAUUACAUCAGGUCACUCUGAGGACUACAUGAAGCAGACCUACCUGGAGAGCGUCUUCCCUUUGAGAAACCGUCUCUCCCAUCUCUAAACCGUCCUCGACACUGCCCGGCGAAACCGCCAACAGCCAGCAGAGUCCGAGCCGCGGAGCGCUGGCUUCCUGCUUCUCAAGCCCGCUAAACGCCCUCACCUGCUCCGGGACUCGGGAGCGCGUGCUAUCUUAUUCCUCUAAGCAUUCAACGUGAAACAAGGCCUUCCUUGGCAGGUGGCCACGGAGAAGUAUAUUUUUACAGCUUCUGUAACCGAGGCUCACGGCACCCAGAAUUUCUGCAGCGCAC
rnacentral:lncRNA from 1 species